CCUACGGGUGGCAGCAGUGGGGAAUAUUGCACAAUGGGGGAAACCCUGAUGCAGCGACGCCGCGUGAGUGAAGAAGUAUUUCGGUAUGUAAAGCUCUAUCAGCAGGGAAGAAAUAAAGUCCUUCGGACUUUGGACGGUACCUGACUAAGAAGCCCCGGCUAACUACGUGCCAGCAGCCGCGGUAAUACGGAGGAUUCAAGCGUUAUCCGGAUUUAUUGGGUUUAAAGGGUGCGUAGGCGGCAAGGUAAGUCUGAUGUUAAAGCCCGGGGCUCAACUCCGGUUCGGCAUUGGAUACUAUCUAGCUAGAAUGUGGUAGAGGUAAAGGGAAUUCCUGGUGUAGCGGUGAAAUGCGUAGAUAUCAGGAGGAACAUCGGUGGCGAAAGCGCUUUACUGGACCAUUAUUGACGCUGAGGAACGAAAGCCAGGGGAGCAAAUGGGAUUAGAUACCCUUGUAGUC
rnacentral:rRNA from 1 species